UACGUAGGGUGCAAGCGUUGUCCGGAAUUAUUGGGCGUAAAGAGCUCGUAGGCGGUCUGUCGCGUCGGCUGUGAAAACUCGGGGCUCAACUCCGAGCUUGCAGUCGAUACGGGCAGGCUAGAGUUCGGCAGGGGAGACUGGAAUUCCGUGGUGUAGCGGUGAAAUGCGCAGAUAUCAGGAGGAACACCGGUGGCGAAGGCGGGUCUCUGGGCCGAUACUGACGCUGAGGAGCGAAAGCGUGGGGAGCGAACAGG
rnacentral:rRNA from 1 species